GAUUACGGCCAUAGCACACUGACAACGCCCGAUUUCGUCUGAUCUCGGAAGCUAAACAGAGUUGGGCUGGGUCAGUACUUGGAUUGGUGACCGCCUGGGAAUACCCGGUGCUGUAAGCA
ensembl:rRNA 5S_rRNA 5S ribosomal RNA